rnacentral:rRNA from 1 species
CGUAGGGACCAAGCGUUGUUCGGAUUUACUGGGCGUAAAGGGCGCGUAGGCGGCAAUUCAAGUCAGUUGUGAAAUCUCCGAGCUUAACUCGGAACGGUCAACUGACACUGCUUUGCUAGAGUACAGAAGGGGCAAUCGGAAUUCUUGGUGUAGCGGUGAAAUGCGUAGAUAUCAAGAGGAACACCUGAGGUGAAGACGGGUUGCUGGGCUGAUACUGACGCUGAGGCGCGAAAGCUAGGGUAGCAAACGGGAUUAGAUACCCCGGUAGUCCUAGCCCUAAACGAUGUAUGUUUGGUGUCUGGAGUUUUUAUUCUCCGGGUGCCGUCGCUAACGUUUUUAACAUACCGCCUGGGGAGUACGCUCGCAAGAGUG